rnacentral:piRNA from 1 species
UCAUCUUCAGAAGGAGGAUCGGACA